rnacentral:rRNA from 1 species
ACGGAGGGUGCAAGCGUUACUCGGAAUCACUGGGCGUAAAGGGUACGUAGGCGGCCCGCUUAGCUGGAUGUGAAAUCCCACGGCUUAACCGUGGAACUGCGUCCAGAACUGGCGGGCUUGAGAACGGUAGGGGACAGUGGAACUCAAGGUGGAGCGGUGAAAUGCGUAGAGAUCUUGAGGAACACCGGUGGCGAAAGCGACUGUCUGGGCCGAUUCUGACGCUGAGGUACGAAAGCCAGGGUAGCGAACGGG